CAAGGUCCAGCAAUAGGCUGUCUGCAAGCUGAAGAACAAGGAAGCCAGUCCAAGGCCUGAAGCUGACGAACCUGGAAUCCUGUGUUCAAGGGCAUCCAGUAUGGGAGAAGGAUAUAGACCCAGAGGGUAUCACCAUCCAGCACUGCCAAAUACUCAUUGUCUGAAAGCUAUCAAUUUAUAUGCUGUGUGCUUUGCCCCUACUAAAAAUACACCUGGCUUGCCAAGUAGAAAAAGCUACUGAGAAAGCUCGUCUAUCAAAACAAAUGUCUCUGCAUCUUGUUUGAAUAUUUUAUGGCAUGUAAAUAUUGCUGCCCUAGGACAUCCAACUGAUACCAUGAACUUCCGAGCUUCAGUGAAGAUGAGAAAACUAACACAUUCAGUGGUGAAGAAACAUGCCCAAGUUUACCAGCCAAGACCCCAGAGAGAUCCUGUGCCCCUUCCUACAUGUGAGACCAGAGUGAGAAGACGGCCAUCUGUGAGGAAUUGGGUCCUCACCAGACCCAAUCUGCCUGAGCCGUGACCUUACACCGAAUCUGCCUGAGCCGUGACCUUAUACUUUCCAGCCUCCAGAACUGUGAGAAAUAAACUUCUGGUUUUUUUGUAAGCCAGUCAGUCUGUGGGGUUUUACUAUAGCAGGCUAGCCUGAAUUAAAACAGCAGUCCAUGAUAAAUGCCAUAUAUACAUUAGGAAAAAGGAGACCACAAUGCUUAAAACAUCUUGCCAAAUACACAACCACCUUAAGCUUUUUAGGAAGUCACAAGUAUGAGAAAAGUCAGUUCUAGCAGGGGUUUCAGUAAGGUGAUUCUGCUUUGUGACAAUGGAAUCUUUGUAAAAACAGAAUUAAAAAAAAAACAAAACCCAAAACUGUUGUACAGAUAUUCUCCUUUGAUUGAUUGUGUAUCAGAAAGACACUAAUUGUUCUUUUUGGGAAUACAAUUAAGAAAUUAAAAUGUAUACAUGCCAAAUCAGUAAAAUCUAAAAGAGCAAAAUUGAAGAAUUUUGCCAUUAAUCUGCAUUUAGCCCCAUUUGUCAUCCAAAAGAGUAAUGAUCCCAUUUUAUCAAUGUCAAGUUUUAAUGCCUUACUUUUAUGGCGGGGGCUCUAUUUUCUUUCACCUGGUGCACUUUUAAAUUUCACAAUUAAAGAACAGCAUUUACUAAGCUUUAAUUAAGUUUGAUUAAUAUGUAUGAAUAUUUCACUCCUAUUACUGGAAAAAAUUUUUGGACUUUUUUUCAGUAGAUGACAUGCCAGUCUAAUAUAAAAAUCAGACUUUUAGUUUUGAAAUGUUGGCACGUUUUGCUUUGUGGAAUAUUCCAGUGAAUCAAAUAAUUUCAUGUGGUGUAUGAGCUUAAUGGCAUUGGAAACGGCAGGGCCUUGGCUUGUUUUAAAUCAGAAUUAGAGAUGUGCCAACCUGUCAGAACUCCUAUGCACAAAGUACACUAUAGUUCUUCACACCCUUUUGAGUUCAUAUCAAUCAUUUGAAAAUAACAUUUUUCCCUCAGAAUGAGCUGUCACUAUCAAUUUGAAUAGUGGCUGUUGCGCUGGAAUGUAUCCAAAUUUUCAGCAAGCCAUUUGGUUCAUUAUAUCACAAACCAAAUGACUCGCAAAACCGUAUUUUUUCAUACCGUUUUAAACCAAAUACAGUAAUAUCUCUGCACGGAUUUCAGUCAUAAUUAAGAUAUUUUAAUGCAAAUAUCUAUUUAGAUUUCUAUUUUUUCCUAUUUUGUUAGUAUUUCUGAUUCACUUUGCGAUAUUCAAUUAAAAACCAUUUUUCUCAGUUUGCAAAUGUGUUUCAUUCAGUGGUACUCUAAUUCUGGUUAUAUGUGAUUACCAAAAUGCAAACAAAUUUUGUGAUGUCCUGUUCCUGUUAGAAAACUGUAAAACACUAAAUGUCAUUCAAUAAAGAUCGUGCUCAUGAUAAAAGAAUACUUGUGAAACAUAGAUCUGAAUAAAAAAUAUUUUUCUCAUUUUAGCACAGUUACCAUACAUGGCAUUUCAUAAAAGUCCUGUGAUUCUAGGAUGUUACUUGCACUGAUGUGUCAUUAAAUGUGGCACAAUCUUUUUCAUGGGACCUACAAUGUAAAAUCAGCUGCAUUUUUUCCUAGAGGAAAACAUCUACUGCCCUUCUCUCCUUGCAUUUUUGUUUCAUUCUAUUUCAAAAUUAAUACAUAAGCUUUUGUAUUUCAGGAGAUAAAUUAUUUAUUUUUUCAACCACAGAGAUUUCCAUUUGUACAAGCUAUCAAUUCCAAUUGAGUUUGUAUUAUUAACUCAAAUAAGCUUUACAAACUAUUAUGUAAGACAUAUUCAUAGAGGAUUAUUGCAAUGAAAUCACAUAAACUUUACAGAAAACAUAUUUCACAAGUUCUGGAAAAAUUAAUACCUCAGAAGAUAUUGUUGAUGUAGAAAAUAUGAAGUCCAGAUUGGGGCAUUCACUUUUGAUUCCUAGAUUUCAAAUUACUUUGCCACUUUGAGUUUACUCUGUGUUAUAUAUUACAUAACAUGAGGCUGAAACACUAAACUGCCUAUAUCACUAGGAAGUUGUAAAAGUAACACAAAGUAACAGGUGUAAAAGGAAUUUGAGGCAUUGGAAGUGUCACACUGCAGGAAGUACAGAGACAUCACCUGCUACAAUGAUGCUAGAAAAUCCAACUUAAUUUUACCUACAUUUUUAAAUGAUGUCUGAAAACACCUUUUGCAGCACAUUUACUUCUUUCUAUCUUUUAUCAAAACUUAAAACCUCAGAAUUUAUUUGUUGGUUCUCCUGGCUAACCGAUCAAUUCUUGGUAGUUACUCUUCUGUCCUUUCUAUUUUGCCCUAGGAAGUCUGCAUUCUCAUACUGAACAAAAUUUUUGGUCUUGAACAUUCGCAAUUAUUUCUUUGAUUCUGUGUUCUUCUCUGGUGAUAACUUCUCUUUCAAUCAUAGACAGUGUGCUUCCCACUCCCCUAAUUCAUAAACAUGGUGUUAUGGAUCAUCAUGUUACUAAUUCACUUUCAUUUGCAAAUUAUUGAUCUGACACUACCAUUAAAAUUACUUCAUCAGAUUUAAUGGCACUUUAGCAUGACUUUCUAUUUUCAUUACCUCGAUUUAUGCCCAGGAUUACAUCAGUAUCUUGUUCAUUUUCUUUGUAAUUAGAUGUGUUUUGCCAUAUAUGUCAAUGACUACUGAUUUCCUAUUGAUUUCUUAUUUUUCUUCUAAAUUUUGUAAAAUUAUUAUUUUUAAUCACCAAAUUUCAAUGAAUUUUAUGUGUAUUAGGUUUCACUUACACACAUGGGCAAAUAACACUUGGAUCACAUCACCCUGAACUAUGCUUUGAUCCAAAGAUUUUAAAUUCUAACACUCAUAGUCAUCCCCAAUAGUCUAAUUAUUGUAAUAUCUACAUCCAAUAUUUGUAUAAAAUACUCGCAUUCCUUCAAUCUUAACUUCAGCAUUUAAACCAUCUCAUAUUUUUUCAAAACUUAAGCAGCAAAAUGAAUGUUCUAUCCUUCCAUUGACUCUUUGGUGGAUCAUUUAAAAAAUACAUUAUAUUCUCUUUUUAUUGUUGUCACUAUUAUUAUUAUUAUUAUUGCCAUAUUAGUGGGUGUGAAGUGGCAUCUUGCUGAGAUUUUGAUUUGUAUUUCCCCAGUGACUAAUGAUGUUGAGCACCUUUUAGCCAUUUGUACAUCUCUUUGGAGAAACAGCUAUCCAAGGUUUAUUCCCAUUUAAAAAAUUGGUUCUUUGUCUUUCAUUGUCAAGUUGUAAGGGUUCUUAUAUAUUCGGGAUAGUAGAUUUUUACGAUAUCUUGAUUUGCAAAUAUUUUUUUCUUUUCUGCAGUUGAUGAAAAUGUGCUGAAAUUGGAAUCCUCAAACAUUGCUGGUGAAAAUGUAAAAUACAGUUGCUAUGGAAAGUAGUUUGUUGGCAUCUCAAAAAGUUGAACAUAAAAUUAUUAUAUGAGCCAGUGAUUUCACUCUUAGGUAUAUACUCAAAAGAAUUAAAAACAAGCACGCAAACAAAUACUUGCGCAUGAAUGUUCAUUGCAGCACUAUUCACAGUAGCCAAAAAGUGGAAACAUAACAAAUGUUCAUCAGAAGAUAAUAAACAAAUGAAAUGGAAUGGAUUCAUACAAAUAUUAUUCAGUCAUUAAAAAUGAAAAUAGUUUUAUAUGCUGUAACCUAGGGGAACCUCAAAAGCAUUAUCUAAGUGAAAGAAGUCAGACACGACAAUCCUAUAUUAUAUAAUUCCAUUUAUAUGCAGCUUUUAGAAUAGAUAAAUACAUAUAGACUGAAAGCAGACUAGUGUUUAUUGGGGGUUGGAGAAGAGAGAUGGGAUUGAUUGCCUAAUGAGUAUCGAAUUUCUUUUAGAAUGAUGUAAACACCUUAGAACUAAAUAGGGGAGAUGGUUGCACAAUAUUGUAAAUGGACUUAAUACCACUGAAUUGUACACUUUAUAAAGGUUAAUGCUUAAAUUGAUGUUACAUGAAUUUUAUCUCAAUUUUAAAAGUUAAAUAUUAUAAAAUUUUGUAAAACGUCUUAAAAUUCUUUCCAUCUAACUACAGUACUAUCUUUGGGUAUCCAGUAAGAUCUGUUUGUGCUUCCACUCCUCACUGACGAUUUUUUUUCAUCGUAUGUAAGACUUUCAUUUCUUUAGCCACCUUUCAUACCAUUUCUCUUUUUCCAGCAAGAAAUGUCUCAUUCUUUUCCAAAGUUACAGUUUUUACAUAUAUUGGCUUCAUACCCUCUUCUAGGUCCUGCUUCAUCAAUUAAACCUACUCUUCCUCUUUUCUGUUUACCUGCCAUCCAUAUUUUGUCCUUUCUUCUGGAUCUACACAUUUAACUUGAUUGAUUUACUGUUGGUACCUUCCUUUACCUUCACUCCAUAUGAAAACAUCUACCCCUCUUUCUUUAAAUUUUAACAGCACUCAUCCUGAAUGAGGGAGAUGAAAUACAUCUAAGGCACUGGGAUUGUCUAUUGUAUUUGAGAAAGGGUCAGCAAAAUAUAUCCUAUGGGCCAAAUAUGGCCCAACAUCUAUUUUGUAAUUAACAUUUUGGGGAACAAGGCACACUUAUUCACUUAUAUAUUGUCUGUAGUUACUCAUAUUACAAUGACAGUGUUGAGUAGUGAACACAGAGACAAUAUUGCCCACAAAACCUAAAAUAUUUACUAUCUGGCCCUUAUAGAAAAAAAAUUCAGGUUCCUAUAUUGAAAUAUCAAUAGAUUUCAGAAUUCUAUAUUAGAGUAACAGUAGGUAUUUUAAGAGAUAAAGCUCCAAAUCUCUGGAUUUACAUGAUAGAAAUGUAUUCUCACCUAAAUUCUAUGAAAUAGCGAUAUGGAUUCAGGAAACAAGCUUGCAGAUGCUUUCCGAAAGUGCCUGGACUUCAACUGGCACGUGGUCAAAAAAAAUGUGAAUAAUUAUAUUGAACUUUUCCUAUUUUUCUUUCUUCUUUAAUAGAAUAUACCUUUAAUUGUUAUAUAUUGCUUCCACCAA